UGCAGCUCAAGUGGUGGCCGCUAUUAUUGGGCCUAAAACGUCCGUAGCCGGUUCUAUAAAUGCCUGGGUAAAUCGUACGGCUUAACCGUACGAAUUCCGGGUAGACUGUUCAACUUGGGACCGGGAGAGGCUAGAGGUACUCCUGGGGUAGAGGUGAAAUUCUGUAAUCCUAGGGGGACCACCAGUGGCGAAGGCGUCUAGCUAGAACGGGUCUGACGGUGAGGGACGAAGCCCUGGGGCGCAAACGG
rnacentral:rRNA from 1 species